rnacentral:rRNA from 1 species
GAUGAACGCUGGCGGCGUGCCUAAUACAUGCAAGUCGAGCGAACAGACGAGGAGCUUGCUCCUCUGACGUUAGCGGCGGACGGGUGAGUAACACGUGGAUAACCUACCUAUAAGACUGGGAUAACUUCGGGAAACCGGAGCUAAUACCGGAUAAUAUAUUGAACCGCAUGGUUCAAUAGUGAAAGACGGUUUUGCUGUCACUUAUAGAUGGAUCCGCGCCGCAUUAGCUAGUUGGUAAGGUAACGGCUUACCAAGGCAACGAUGCGUAGCCGACCUGAGAGGGUGAUCGGCCACACUGGAACUGAGACACGGUCCAGACUCUUACGGGAGGCAGCAGUAGGGAAUCUUCCGCAAUGGGCGAAAGCCUGACGGAGCAACGCCGCGUGAGUGAUGAAGGUCUUCGGAUCGUAAAACUCUGUUAUUAGGGAAGAACAAAUGUGUAAGUAACUAUGCACGUCUUGACGGUACCUAAUCAGAAAGCCACGGCUAACUACG